AUGGUGGGCCGCCCUCUUCCCUCCUUCCCCUCCCCGCCGCGCUGGCUCCGGGGGCAGCCGCCCCUCCGGACCCACCCGGGCCCGCCCGGGAGCCGCCGCCAGGCCCCGGGACGAGCCGAGCCGGGCCGGGCCGGGCCGGGCCCCGCGGCUUCCCGGGGGCCGCCCGCAGCGCCCUUACCUGCGCCGGCCUCACAUGGCCGGGCCGGGGCCAGCAGCACCGCGCCCCCCCGGCUCCCCCGGCGCCGCCGGUGUCGCUGCCCCCCGCUGCCCGGGCCGAGGCGUCGUUGCUCGCCCCGGGCCCGCAGUCUUUAUUUUUGCACGCCUGAACCCUUCCGCUCCCUCCUCCCCCCACCCCCACCAGGCAGCCAGGGUUUUAAGGACAGCACCGGGUGCCAGAAGAGGUGUCCUCGCAGCUUGGGGCAGGGUUCAGACCUCAGAGAUCUCGACAUCGUGUCCUGGAUUGUCAGAUUAAGGUGCUGCCAAGAAACUUUAAACAGAUUGACAAGUCUUCAGAUUCACCAUCAGAGACAAAGUCUGCUAUUAGAGGCAUGAGGAAUGUAAACCUGCAACCAGUACAAGGAAAAGAUGGUUUAUGACCAAGAACAGCAAAGAGGGCAUUCUCUGGCACUUCACACUAAAUAUCAGUAUAGGUGUCUUCCAUUAAGUAAGAUUAUUGCAGUCAUUUCUGUUGUCCAUGCACAUCAGGAUGUCCAUGGGCUACCUGAAAAGCCCAUGGUCCACAAAAAGUAACUAAGAAAUACAAGGCAGUAUCUGUAAACAAGGGUCCCAAAAGCAAAAACAGGUUAAAAACAGUGCCACAUAUUACAAAGAGGCCUCUAAAAGGACAGAAAUGCAUUAUGGAGGCAAAAUUUCUCUGUUGGGUAACAGGGAGUCAGACAAGGAGAAAGAUAGGAAAGCAUUUUAUAGGAUUACCUCUACUCCAUCGUCAAAAGUGUGAAUUCCUGGGAAUUUAGAGUGCACAGCAUUGGUCUUACUAUCCAGGAAUAGCAUAGCAAAUUUUGAAAAGUUUAACAAAAGCUAGUUAUGCAAACAUUUUCAAACAACUGUUCCUGUAUGCCAAAUGACAUAGGCAAUUUCUAGCUCAGUUACACUUUCGAGGAAAUCUUCCUCCUCACUGGCUCGCUACAAGCAAAGGAUACUCUGAUUAUUGCUUGUCCCUGUCAGGCAUCUGAAAUACUGCAGUGCAGUUCCCAGGGAGGUUUGGGUAGGCCAAAGGUGCAGCCCUGGGUUUCCUGCUGCGCUCUUCAUUUCUUCUUCAUUUGUGAUUCUGAAAUGCAGGAGGAAUGCAAAAAGCCAUCUUUUCCCCCCAGAUCCUUAGCUGAUCUUAGAUACCGCCUUCAGAGAUCUAUAGCAGUGUUGCUGUUCAUGGUGUAAGGCUGCAGCAGAGAUGCAGGAAUGAGAUGUGUGGGGAAAAGUCCUAAGGAUAUCAUAAAGCCUGGCCCAGGCAGUGAGACUGUGGUGAUGUCCCUGUAGGAGUCUGAAUGGAAUCCAGCCCCAUCCUGAGUGUUGCUUCUCCUGAACUGGAGAAUGAUUUCCUGAUAGCUUUGCUUUUAUGUGCUCAUUUUCUUCUGGAGCUUCAUCCAUCAGACUAUCUGGCUGUAAUUCAUAGACUCAAUACUUUAUAGCACUUGAUGCUUCUCAUUGCUUCUGCAGGGCUCUUGAUCCUUGAUUUAAGAAUUAUAUCCUACUGCAGACUGUCUGGAUGAAGGACCUUUAAACUUGGCCUCUUGGAAUGGAGAGGGUCUGCAGAAAUUUUUGCUAGCAGGCCCAUCAGCAAACAAGCAAACUGGAAUUUACCAUGUCAUGUCCAGCCACCCUGCCUGUGUCGUGGCACGACAGGGACAGGGAGGACAGCUGUACAGGUGACUGCUUGAAUUAGACCCAGCUGCAUCCCUGUACAGACAUGAAUCAGGGUCCUACUGCUAUAUCUUGGAGAAGUAAAUUGCUUCCCAGCCCACAUGAUACUCACCUCUCUCUCUCUCACCUACACAUGUUGGUUUAAGUGCUGGAUCACAUCCUGUAAUGGCCUUGACCUCUACCUGGACCUCACACACUAGUGUUUUCCUUAUUUCCUGAGAAGUUAAAAAAAAAAAAAAAAAAAGCCUAAUCAGAGAGGAUCCACAAUCACAGCCAUUUUUUCCCUUUCCUUCCCUUAGGAUCCUUUCAGAAGCCCAGCAGAAGACUGCUGGGGCUCUUGAGAACUUUAUCUCCACUGCCAACACAAAAACUUUCUCAGAGUCUUUGUCCGUACUUUUCUUAUAUAAAUGGGUGUUUGAGGCAGUAACUUUUUAGAUGCAUGUCUAUAACACUCCAGGUCCUCUGUAAAAUAGAUGCUAACAAAUAAUCCAUUUGCUGCCAGAACAACUAGGAAACUUCUCCCUCCUGCUAUCUUUGUUUUUAGGUAGGCCAGAUAUCCUGAGGUUGGCAGUGAGCCCUAGAAAUAAAUUAUUGUGAGUGAGAGGUGAGAUACAGACAAUGUCACACCACUGCAGGUCAUUUUGUGUUAGCCAAAGCUGCUCAAACGGGGCACUGUAUAGUUAGAACCUCAGCAAAAUCCAGCGUGGAAUGUGAAAAUGAAAGGAAAAGCAAGUCGUGGAGGGGCUUGCCAAAUAGCUUGAUUGGUUCAACCUGAAAGGGAACGUGCUGCCUUGGAGCUGGAUGCAGGAAACAUUGCACAGGUAUGCAUACAGGAUUUUACCCAGGCGGGCGGCUCUAGUGCCUUAUCAUGCACAGCAAAGGGAGGAUGGCAUCAAAAGCCUUCCCCUGUGGUUGAAACGGCAUCACUGCCUCUGCCUUAACUCCAUCCUGCCCAUUCUUGUUCACUCAGAAACCACAGUGCUAAGAAGAUGCUUCUUCCCAGCUCGUAUCCUCAUGCAAUAAUGCCCAUCUAAGUGUUGUUGCUUGUGGUGUAAGUCAGUGCUGCUCGCUGCUCAGACCAGUCCUUUGCUUUAUUUCCUGCCAUUGGCUAGACACAAAAUCCAGCCCACAAACAAAUUAACCUGUCCCAUGCAUCUAUAAAGAUGAUUACCAGUUAAAGAAUUGCACACAGAAGUCCCUGACUUGUAUUAAGAGAACCUUGAAUGGCUGUAAAAACAAGCACUUAAAAUUAUAGAAAUUCAGAAAUGGAUGAAGAGCUUGAAGCUUUUGGUUUGUCUUUUUUUGGGUGCAUAUAAUUAUGCACAAUAGUGUAGUUUUUAAUGAUGUAAACACGUGAAUUUUCAAAAGCUUAGCUUUUACGAAGGAGGACAAACAAAGCUGAAAUAUGCCUUCCUCCCCACUCAGUGUCUUUGCAUGAGAGGCAGUCCUAGAGUGACCUCUCAGCUUCUAUAUGUAAUGACAUAGUGCCCUCUGUUGGGAAGCUGUUCCUGAUGCUGUCUUCUCCCUGCAGUCAGGUGAGGUAGCAUUAACACAAAUAAUCAUACUUUCAGACAUGCUUCCAUAUACUGAUGAAGCAGGUUUAAAUUUUUUUCCUCCUUAGCCACUGCAGAUGUUUUGUGUUAGGUUUGAGCAAGCAGUUGCACUACAUUACUAAUAAGGUUUUCUGUGAAAGUGUCAAGAAAGACCUACCAUUUUAUUAUAGUUUCAGCUUUUUAAAAAUAAAGCCUCCAUGAUUUUAGCCACAGAAGAAACUGAGAACCCCUUGUUCAGCUGGGUGCACAUGAGUCAUGCUGCUUCACAUCAGCAAUAAGAUGUGUGGGGCUACAGACUGGCUGCUUGCUCUGUGUGUGUGGACAGGAUGAUUAGGUUUCGCCUAAAUAAACUGUCUUUAAGAGAGGUUGUUGGGCAGAGGAAGCAAAUCCUACUGCAUGGAACACCCUCUCCUGUAGCACAAUGGUUUAUCUCUAUUAUUCCUGACAAGAAGAAAAGAAAACAUUCUCCCCUGGGCUUUGCCUGAUCCCUCUUCCUCACUUACCCUACCAAAGUAGGGCCAAGGUUGGCCAUUUGUCUCCCACCCUGUCCUGCCAUCCUCAGCAUCCAAUCCUCAUCAUACAUCGAUGAAUCCUCACCCUGCUCCAAACACUGCAACGAGAUUAAUGCUAUACUUAUCCAAAACAUGUGCACUGUGUUAGCCCAGCCUAAUAUAACUUGGUGGGAUCUACCUUGAGAGCACAGUGCUGGUCACAGACACCUUCUGUGGGACCAAACCCUUGCUCUAACCCAGCUCUCACACAGUGUUUGAUCCUUAAUAUCAGUGGCCUUGUUAGGCCUUGAAAAUAUAUAUUUUCUUCUGGCUCAUGGUAGCACAAGACCAAAACCCAGCUAUGCCACCCAUGCUGGCUUUCCUGAAGGCCGCAGAUUUAAUAUUAAUCCUUUAAUAGCCCGCGUGUUUAGUGAUAGAAAAGUCCGAGCAUUUUACUGAAAUCGCUCCACAAUGUUGGUCCAACAUACUAUCAUCCUUAAAGUUGCCAGGGACAAUUUUUUAGAAGCCAGUUCAGGCAACACAUCAUCUCCUAUUUUAUCAGCUUCUAGCCUAGUCCACAGAUUUCAUCCAACUUGGUGAGUUGUCAAAGUAGAGCUCUCAAAGUGAGCUUUCAGAGAAAUACAACCAGCCACACAGUGGUGGGUAAGUAUCAUUUGUCUGGAGCUAUGAUGCUAUUGAUGGGAAGGCAGACUGAAGUGGGAUUGUUUUAUAUAAGCAAAGGCACAGUUUUCAUGAAGCGAGCUUUUGUCCUUAACUCACAAAAAGGGCCUUUAUGUGAUUCUCACUGUGUGAUAUUUUUAGUUUUCUUUGCAUUUAAUUAAGAAUGGCACAAGAAUAAUACUGCAAAUAAAACAUAAAAGCCAAAUGAACUUAUAAAAAAAAGUGUUUUUUCUACCUUAGGGGGAAAAAAACAACAAACAAACAAACAAAAAAAACUUGGUACAUUACAUUCAAAGCUUAGAUUGUAAACUGGUAGAGACCACAUCUGUGUCCUGUGCUUGUCAUGCAUUUAUCUCAGUGAAGAGUCUCUUCUGAAGUUAUAACAUCACCUGGGAUGGAUGAAUUGCAGUUCCCAAACCAUAACAGAGCAAAAAGAAAUUAAGACAAAAGUUAUUCAAAGGUUAGCUUGUUACAAUGGUUAGUUGGUGAAUAAGAGAUCUAAAUACUUUAUUUCUGUCAAAGGGACAAAAGGUGAGGUAAACAAACUGUGUAAGGUCUUGGAUUUGAAGUAUUUCACAGCUACAGCUUACAAUGACUAAUAUAGUGCAAACAAUGAUUUAUAAUAAUUCCAGAAUAUGUCAUGCUUCCUCAGAACAGAACAAGUAUAAAGUUGCCUUCUUUCUGUUUUGGACAGGUGCUCCAGACAACCAAGUUAAAUGUCAAUCCAGUGCCCAGAUACUCUCUUAAUACCCAGAGAUCUCAAUAUGGCUGAUACCCUGCUUUGUGGUUCUGACUCCACACAACUAUCUGCUUUUUUACCUCUUUUUCUCUCUCAAUACAUAAAGGUUCCCCAUUUCUUGAAUCUCCUCCUUUGUCAUUAGUGAUUCUCACAAAACCAAAAUGAUCUCUCAAAGCCUAUCAUCUUAGUAAG
rnacentral:lncRNA from 1 species